AAAUUUACAGAACAAAUUUAGAUCACUAUUCAAGAAGCAACAACCAUAUCAUAGAGUUGCUCUGAGAAAAAUAGAGGCUCAAUGGAAAAUGUGAAAACUUGAGGGUUAACUAACAGCAGUUUUUUUUCUUUAUAAUGACAAAGCAAAAGGUAAGAUCCCUAAUGUUCUUUUCCAGAACCAACUUUUUCCUGGUUGGGGGGUCGGGGGGAUCUAGUUGUGGUACUCCAAAGUAUUAGUCUCUUCAACCUGGAAGCUUAUUCUUUGUAUAUAAAUAAGAUGAGUUUGCACAUGAACAUUUCUACAAAGUGUGAACAUUACAACUUACAUCCAAUAUCAAUGUGCAUCGAUUGUGGUGAUCGAACCAAAUGCUGUACUGGAGCAUUACUGGAGAGCGAAAGGAGGGAAGAACAUGGUGAAGCAGAGAAAAAAUAGGUCACAGCAGACAAGAAAUUACAG